GCAGAAUGACCCGAUGAAGAGACCUCCUCUCUCUGAAUGCAGGGAGGGCUAGAGAUGCAGAUAUGCAUAAGCGCAUGGUGCUGAGGAUGGAGUGACUGAGCCCUUGACUGCAGCUCCCUUCAGAGACUGCAGUUUACUGGCUGCACACAGUCUGGUGUGGGGAGGACAAUUUUUCCCUGUGAAGCCUGCCAGGGAGCUGGUUUGGAUUAAAGUCACAUACAAACUGAGCCAUCUCCAACAUCUACAUCAGGAAGUAACUCUAACUCAAGAUAGAGGUCACUGGAGGGGCAACAGGUGCUGAGAUGUCUAUGCAGGCAAGUCUGAGGUUAGCCUCCCAGAGUUUCGGGGAAAAGCACACAGGCAUUCCUGAACACUCUGAGAGGUGCAGAAAAGUGGCUGAGCAGACAGACACAAGGUCUGGCAUGGAGGCAGAGGAUCACAGCGGAGCAUGGACCUAACAGCUGGAUGCCGUGUGGUGAUAUCACUAUCAGCAGAAGAUGCAACAAGACCGGGGCCACUGCUCAAGGCCAGAGAAACAGGUUUGUAGGGGCCAGUGGGUCAGCGGUGACCAUAGAAGACAGUCUUCUCUACUUUGAUAGCAAAACAAUGCGUAAGGCACCUGAGGAACUCAGAUUACAACCAGGGAGAAGAAAAUCAGAGGUACAAGGUGGGAUGCAUCCUGAAUUGGUAGAGGAGAUACCCCAGAGUGUUCUACCAGAGUUGACAGAAUUACCUUGAAUAAAUAAGAAGAAGGUAUUUUAUUACCAACAGUCUCAUGGGCUAAGUUUAAGUACAGAGGAAUAAAGUUAUAUCUUUACACACUUGGGUGUGUGACAAUGUAAAAUGUCAACAUUAUACUUCCCAAUGGACUAUGCCAUGCAGAAGGCAGAAAGAAGUCAAAAGCCUGUUCUUUUUUUUCCCAUUCCAUAGUAAAUAGCAGAAAUUAUUCCCUUUGUUAAUCUAAGCAUACACCAGUCUGUAGGUUCAUAAUGAGAAAUAACUUUUUGUUCUUUGAUUUUUUUAAACAAAAUAUAGAAUUUAUAAGACAAACCCUUUUUGGUUUGUGUUUUAUUCCACCUUCUUUUAGCUAGAUUUGAAUGAAAGCAAAAUAAAGCUAUGUAUUGAAUAAAUAUGUUAACUCCACAGUAUUUUUGAAUAUAUAUUUUUCAUGGUAUAGUUCCAACUUUCAUUGGUGAUAUUGAUAUGAAAGUCAGAUUUACUGAGAGGUAAUGUUCAGCCUUGGAAGCAUCACCAAAAUGUGUAUAUAAGGCCUUUGUCCACUAAUGAGUGUCCUUUUAUGUGACUGGUUUUGUAAAGCCUUACACUGUGAAUGGACCGUCAAUCAACUCGCAGCUGCACUGAGGCCUUCGGAUGGCUGUAUCCAUGGCAACGUGCCAAAAAUGGCGGCGCAAAUUAAUCCAUUUGUGUGAAAUUCUCAGUGAGAGUCCACUUUCAUCUUUCAGAAACUACUGUUAGGAAGUCUGAUGAUAAUGUAAAAUACUAAGCAAAAGCAAAAUAGUGAUGGACUAUCCACAGGAUCUUCUCCCUGUAAACAGUGGGACUUCUUUUCCUUUUUAUCUGCUAGAGAUGACAGAGCAGAGUUGGGGAUGUAAUAUUACCACCAUAAUGUUCUUUUUACAAAAAAAGUUACAUUAAUUUAAUGUUCACAUAUAGGCUUCUUUUUCACCUUCUCUCACAAUGCUAUCUAAUCAGCCUGGAAAAUAAGUACAAUGAUUUACACAGUGGUACAAAAUUAAAAGUAAUCUUUUAUCUUGAUGCUUUAUUGCUAAUAGUAUUUGUAUAGCAUAUAGCAUAUAGCAUGAGAGGUACUUCCAGCAUCGAAUCUGAAAUUAAUUGUUAGCUUCCUCUGUUAUGUGAACAGAAGCAGCUAAGUCUUUGUCUCUUAGAAAGGUUCUUUAAAAAUCAUCAUUCUUUGUCUUAGAUCAUGCAUUAUCCCUACAUCUACACAAGUUUGCUUUUCAAAUGCCAUAUCUUAAAAAAACAUAUUUUGCCUCUGUUCGGAUAAAUUUACUUAAAACAAAAUUGCAAAUUGUAUUGUUAAAAUUAUUUGAUGAAAAGGUAACUUUUCACAAACUAAACAUGUAGGGCAGAUACUGCCUUUUAUUUUAGAAUUUACAUUCAUUAAUCAAAGAUAUCCUAGUGAAAGCAUAAGUGAUGUGCCUUAUGUCUACUUGUUACUCCUGUCUUGGGGACUUGAGCUGUAUUUUUACACACAGAACAAAAGGAUUAUUUUCUCUUACAUUGUUCUCAGCUUUCUAAAGUCAUCAGCUACUUUGAGAAUCUAAUAAAAGUUCUAGACACCUAUGAGAAAUACACAUAUGUAUGCUGUACAAAUUUCCUUGCAGUUUCAGAUGAUCCAUGGACUACAGGUUAAGAAGAUGUUGGUCAGGCCAGGCUCAGUGGCUCAUGCCUGUAAUCCCAGCACUUUGGGAGGCUGAGGCAGGCAGAUCAACUGAGGUCAGGAGUUCGAGACCAGCCUGGCUAACAUGGCAAAACCCCGUCUCUACUAAAAAUACAAAAAUUAGCCAGGCCUGGUUGUGCACACUUGUAAUCCCAACUACUCAGGAGGCUGAGGCAGGAGAAUCGCUUGAACCCAGGAGGCGGAGGUUGCAGAGCACCGAGAUCAUGCCAUUGCACUCCAGCCUGGGUGACAGAGCCAGAGUCUGUCUCAAAAACAAAGCAAAACUAUGUUGGUCAAAUUGGUGUUGAAAAUUUUCUCUAAAACAUUGAAUGGAGACGUCCAGUUUCAGUCCCAACACUUAAAGAGCUUGGAAGUUGUCACUUCCAUACUUAAAACAAGAAAAAAUUGAACAAAGGAAAAUCAAUGGCUUUUCUUGGCCUUAGUAGAGAACUGGAUUUGCAGGGCAAAUUGCUACUUUGAAAACCAGAGAAAGCAGUAAGUCUAGAGAGUCACAGGUGAGAUCUAUUUACACAGAGCAGAAGCAGCUAGAUCCAUAAGCUGGGAGGAACACUGAAAUGGCAUUUCUAAUGAAUUGCUGGAGGCCAAGAGUAGACUAACUUGAGAGUGAGAAACUCCUGGGGGCUACAAUCUGAGGAAACUCCCAAACUGUCCUAGGUUUACUUCUAGAAAUUUUGUCAGCUUCUCAUGAUGAUAAUCCAAAAAAAUUCCUGUUACAGUUUUGGCAGGGGAAGGGGAAGAGAAAACAUUGUGAAAUACUCCCAGACUGUUCUGUAUAAAGCAGACCUAGUCUCCAGGAGAAAAAAACUUUACCUAAGUCUUAUCCCACAGAGAAGGACUUUCCUCCUACUCUUACUCUUUCUAGCCUUCGGUCUCAUGUCAGUUGGGAAAACAAGAUAUAUCACUGGAAAAACACUUGUGAAGGUCACAGCCCAGAGAUGCAGACAGAUUGAGAUUUAAUCAUAAGAUUAUAGAAUGCUUCCCCCACAACACACCUGACCACCGCACCAACAUAAUAUAUGAAUGAAUAAUAAGAAUGAAUUACAGCUGAAAGAGUUGGAAGACACACAGUCUGUCUAAGGAAGGGUUUUUAGAGGAGCCCAAAGCAAGAGGAGAGACAAAAUCAAGGAUAAUAGCUGCAGCCUCUGGCACCAGAACAACAGCAAACAUUAAACAAAGCCCAGCUUCUAGCCACAUGAAUGUAAAUCUUCACAUUAAAGGCCCAUUUACCUCAGUUCUAAUUACCCAAUGCGUCAAAUUGUAAAGCAUGAUAAAUGGAAGAAAACCCCAUAAUCUGAAGAAACCAUGUAAGCAUUAGAACCAGACUCAGAUAGAACACAAGUGUUGGAAUUGUAAGGCAAGAAAAUUUACAUAACUAUGGUAAAGAACAUUCAAGAAAAGUUAAAUAAUGUUUGAAGAGAAGGACUCCACUUACAACACUAGGCAGAUCAUUGAGGUAGAAAAUAAACAAAGAAACUCUGGACUUAAACUGGACUCUAGACCAAAUGGACCUAAUAGACAUUUAUAGAACAUGCUACCAACAACUGUAAAUAUAUAUUUUUUUCAUCUGUGCAUAGAACAUCCUCCAGAAUUGACCAUAAAGCAAGUGUCAACAAACUGGAAAAAAUUGAAAUUAUAUCAAGUGUCUUUUCAGACCACAGUGGAAUACAAUUAGAAAUCAAAACCAAGAGAAACUCUUAGAAUUAUACAAAUACAUGGAAACUAAACAACUUGCUCUGGAAUGACUUUUAGGUAAACAAUAAAAUUAGGGCAGAAAUAAAAAAUUAUCUAAGAUGGAUGAAAAUGGAGACACAACAUACCCAAACCUCUGUGAAGGCAAUGCAAGGAGGAAAAUUUAUAGCAGUAAAUGCCUAUAUCAGAAAGAUAAGAAAAUAUCAAAUUAAAAACCUAACAUCACACAUAAAGGAGCUAGAAAAACAAGAACAAACCAAACACAAAGCUAGCAGAAGAAAAGAAAUAACAAAAUGAGAGAAAAACUAAAUGAGAUUGAGACCCCCAAAAAUACUACAGACGAUAAAUGAAAUAAAAAGUUAAUUCCUUGAAAGAAUAAACAAAAUUGGUAGACUGCUAGGUAGAUUAACCAAGAAAACAAGAGGGAAGAUUCAAAUAAGCACAAUCAGAAAUGAUAAAGGUGACCUUAUAACUGAUAUCACAGAAGUACAAAAGAUUAUUAGAGACUGCUAUGAAUAUCUUU